CGUAUUUCUAUCAUGACCAGAAGGAUCCUUGUUUGGAAACAGUAUACACUGAUUUGGGAUUAGAUCAUUUCUUCGUUGUUCUUUAUCGCCCAGAGCUCUGCAACGAAAACAAAAAUAGGAAGGAGAGAUGGUACCAGAUCGGUGGUACGGUUUAUGUCUGUAUCAGAUAUAAAGCAAGAGAUUCAGAACUCUGUACGGGAGAUUCAGUGUUCAUUUGAGAUUUAUAUCAAGAGCUUUGGAUUUCUUCUGAGGAAGAUAGUUAGAUGUGAUUUUCUACUCAAAGGAUCUGCUGAUCAAGAGUUCUUAACUUUAAGGUUAAGGAGUUAGUUAGCGGUGCUGUCGACUCAUAUACACUAGAGAUCAAAUGCUUUCAGUGGAAAAUCUCAUACUUAAAAGGUUGUUGUUUCGUCUAAAUGCACCAACUCCUAACAUUUUCAUCAUAAGUUUCUCAAGGCUUAUCAGUCGGACGCGAAGGUUUGGUAAUUCAAAUCUACUCUUUUGAUGCGACUAGGAAUGAGUUCAGUCUCGAAACCAAGUCUAUUGUUGUUUCUGCGUUAGCUACUAGGAGUUUGGAAGUUGAAGUUAAAGUCACCAAAGCUCAGAUUUGGGACACCUCUAGUCAAGAAAGGCACUUUUCGAGGGGCUUAAAAAAGUGGAGAAGAACAAUGGAAAAGUUUUGUAGAUCGACGAUUUUCUGGAUUUUUUGAUUUUAAUAGUAUGCUUGCUAGCAUGCUUGUUAUGGUGCUUACGUGGAGGAUUCAAGUUGUAUAUGGCGUUCAAACUGACGCAUCUUGUCUUGUUUUUGAAUUUUUUGGAUUUUUUGUAAAAGUGUACUUGUACAACAGUGUAAAUUAAGAUUUAAAAAAAAUGAAAUUUAUAUAGUCA